AGAGAAGAGCAGCCAAGAAGCACGGCCCCAGAUUCCCUUUCCAGCACAAGGCCUCCUCACUCCGGUGCAAUUCGAUGCACAUCGCAGGUUCAUGCCAUGUCAAGCGUUUGAGUGCAGAAUGUACUUGAUCUGAAGGCAUCUGAGGAAGAAGCCUCUGACAGCAGCUAUGAUUUGUUUUUGGCAGAAUAAGGGUAACGACUUGUCAUCUCCUCGGUUUGAUCCUCUGCCCUUUCAUCAUGGCUUGCAAUGGGAAUGAAGCGCUCUCAGCAGUACAACCACACAGGGAAAGCCCUAAAGAAUGGAGAAGGCAUGCUAAAACUCAAAGAAAAUUAUUCUGACAAACCUGUGUUUCAGAGCCAUUAGUUUCUGAAUCCCCUGUGCCUUCUCACUUAAAAAGUUCCUUUCUGCUCCACCACCUCUUUUUCUGCAUCUCUCUGACAUGGCUGAGCAGCCUCUCACUACACACGAUAUCAUUUAGGGUAGUUUUUCUAACAUCGCUAUCAAGGUGAAACUUCCUCCUUAGAGAUGUUUCAUAUGUUUCAGAUUCAUCUGCAUUUCUUAUCUAGGGACCCAACAGCUCCAUAGCUUGCUGCAAAACAAAGCUGUUCUCAAUAUUUCUUCUUUUCUAUUUCCACUUGUCAUCCUAUCAAAGAAAUUAUUUUGCUAUGUUAGUGAUCUUUUCUUAUAAUGAAAUGCAACCUUCUAAAUUAUUUUUUCCAGUGCUAACAAGGUACCUGCCAGUAAGUUUCCAGGUAGGUAAUGCUCUUUAUAGCUGAACAACAGUUGUAUGGCUGACAAUCCCUGUGUCCCUGUUAUUUCUAGAAGUAGUGGUUUGCUGCAUUUACCACUAAACUUACUUCAUCCAUUUUGAGGUACAAGUUUCUAGCAGGAGUGCACAACCAAUUUAGUUACUUUUUUUAUUGACCACAUUCAAACCCUCAGCCUUAAAAAUUCACCAUUGGCCCAGCUUUAGUUGUGCUUCUCAAAACUCUAACAGGAAGACAACUGGUGUAGGAGAAGCACAGAGAACUUUCCUCUCCUGAACUGUGACUUUGGAACCAGGGACAUGAUAGUAAUCUCAUCACUCAACAAAAAGUGAAAGGUUCCUCCUUUUGACUUUGAGUACAGUAACACGGAAUAAUCUGAAGUGUCAAUAUACACCCUUCCUCUCAAGGCUAUGGAAGAUCAGGACCAAUUGGAUUACAGAAUACCAACUUGGUUUAGAAUAAUGCUUUCAGUACACAGUGAUAAGCAGGAUAAAUAGGAAACUAUUGCCACUGGAGCACAUACAAAAGACAGCAUAGACUACAGAACAUAGGCUAGAAUAACGCACCAUGUCCCUUGUUACUCAAUACAAUGGCCCUGCUACAAGAAUUAACUCCUGAAUUGUAUUCUUGGAACUCCAGAAACAACCACUUUAAGUAAGAGUCACUUUAUGAGGGGUUUUUUUGAGCUUUCCUGUACUUCAGGUCAGCCAAAACCAGAGAGGUUUCAUUUGCAUUUGCCCCAUUUACUGUUAUAAUGGAGGCCAUACAUAAUUCUCGGAAGGCAAAUGCAGGGUCUCACUUCGACCAAAACCAGAAUGCUUAUUUUGAUCUCUUACAAAUAUUCUGAACUCAUCUAUUACUCUGUAAGGCAUUUUUAUCUUCAAGGCCCGUUACUCCAAUAGGAUUGAUUCACAUUCUAUAUCCACAAAAUAGAAGGGCUGGUUUUAAGAACAGCAAUUUAAUCAGCUGCCCUGUGAGUGAGCCCGCAAGUGGAAUUUCCGUACAAUGAACAUAGUGCAUCAUUUUAAUUGAAAACCAUCUGAUUAGAUAAUUUACAACCAACAUUUACAAAUUAGACAGCUGAACCUAAACUAUGUGAAAAGUUUCUUUUUUAGUCUAAUUUGUACUUGCGUAGAGUGAAAGUUUUUAGCUUUUUUUCCUGCAAUAGAGAGAUUGGUCUUCAAAUAACUGUAAUUAAGGAUGUGAGCAAUCUGCAGACUGAGAAUGAUUUACAGCACAUCAGCUUUGUUCUAAAGCAAAGGCAGAAAACAACGACAGGUCAGUGAGAAAUGAAUUUCUUUAGGACAAUUAAUUACUAGGCCCUGCAUGCCAAUAACAGUGAAAUAAUUCAUGUAAGAAAAUACUUUUAUAAAUGGUUGGAUGACACAGUAAAAAGCUGAUUAUAACACAGUACAUCAUAACAAGUGAUUGGCCUCAAGAAGGUCUUCUUCAGCCCUCCACUAUACACUUGGAUAUAACACGGUCAUUUUGGAUGUUUGGCAUGUGACUUUGGGGGACUGGACUAGAUUAUCUAUAAAGGUCCCUUCCGACUCAAACCACUCUGUGUUCUGAUGUUGAUGUGAUUGACUACUGAGAAUUUUGACUAGGUGAGAAGAGUAUUCAAAGAGUAUCCAAAUCUGUCAGCUUUAAUAAACAUCUGCAAUUUGCAGCCUAAGAUCCUUCUCCAUACACACGGCCCCUCUUCCCAGUAGAAAUUAAAACAGUGAGAAUUUGCAAGAUCAGGGCCCUACUUGUAGAGAAAUUAAGAAAUACCAUAGAUCCAGAGGACAGUUUGCAUCUGCUUCUCACUUUCUGUUACAAAAUUAACAGUCAAUAGGAGGAAACAGAUCUUAAGUUGAUUAUUACUCCCUCUUUUAGAAAAAACAAGACAGUUCUGCAUGAUAGAUUCAGAAACCAAACUUGCAGCAUUCAUUCAUUUUCUUAGAGCACCUUAAAAAUCAGCUCACUCAUUGUUUUUGCCACAGAGACUUUUACCACCACCCAACAGCCAGGGCAAUUCUAAACCGUAACACCUACUUCAUCAAGUUUUGCUAUUCUGGGCAAAAUUAAAGUUACCAGGAAUUACUUGUUUCCAUCAGAGCAACUUCACCUAGAACACACCUAACUCUUUCUGUAGCCAAACAGAAAUGGAAACUAUCUAAACCAGUUUUGUGGUUUUGUUGUUGCUGUUUUGUUUUGUUUUUUUCCCCCUCCCAUAUUUUCACCCAUUUUCUUCUCAAAAUCAGCUUUUGGGAAAAAAAAAAAUACCAGCCAGAACUCAGGAAAGGAGGAGGAGAAAGUACAAUAUAACCAGAGGGUUGUUUGGAAAUCAUCGUGAGGAGGAGGGAACCUAGAAACUAAAUAUUUUCUUCUGUCUACUUUUCAGAAUAAUUUCUAGAUGCUACAAGCUUGCUGCAGAAGAGGUAAGUACACAGUAAGACAUACAGACUUAAUUCAGAUUAUAUUCAAGUAUAUUAAGUGCCUGAACGCUACAUAGUUUUAAGAGCUUCCUAGCUUCAAAAGUAUUAAACUUUCCCUAUAAAUGAGCAUGGCUAUCUGCUACUCUAAAUAUCCUUCCUUUGAAUUCUUCCUUUGGCAGCCAGGACUUGGCCAGAGUGAAGCUGAGUGAGAGAGUUUUAAUGUAUUAAUACAUGAGAAGCAAUUUCAAGUGAGGAGAAAAAAAAAAAAUAUAGUUGCUUCAGAGCAAAGAGAAAAAAUUAUGGUCAGAAAGAGUUUUUAGAAAUGCAAAUGGAAGCUUGGCAUUUUACAUUUCCACAUGUUUCCCGCAGCCAGGCUAAAUCCCAGCAAGUUGUCCCAGAUUCUUGAAGACCAAAAAGAAAAGCAAAAAACAUCCUAAGUCAAACUAAGCAGGAGCAAACGAUACCUUUUCUGAAGGUAUAGGAAAAAUUUCAGAAGUAGAAACCCUUUGGCAGUCUCAGUGCUUUAUAGCAAAAAUGGAAAAAUAUAAUAAAUUAACAUAUUUCUUGAAAAAAACAGAAAGUAUUUGAAAUUCCUUUACUGAGACUCAUUUCAAAGUUAUUGAAAAAAAAAGAUAUGAGACAUGUUUUCUAUAUUUUUAUAUUAGAUAGGUUGAUCUGGAGACACUGUUCUUUAUUUCGAAUGCUUUUAACAUCCAUUUGAGACAAAAAGCUAGAGAAGAUUUAGUAACUCAGAAAUUUCAUCUUUUUGUGCUCAGUGUCUUUAAUUCCAUUUAGUGCUUUCAAGUUUUGCAUCCAAAAUUAGAGAUUAGCUGAACAAACAUCAUACAUGUCCACAUACCAACACAAGUCACAUGUAUUCUUCACGGAUUCAAAAUGAGUUAUAAACACUAAAGUAACAGCAGAGCUGUUCAGAAUGUGUCUCCCAAAACUGACCCCAUUUGGUGGGUUGUGGAGGUAAAUACUGUUCUUCUAAAACAGCUUUUACAAUCCUGGAACAAAAUGAAGCAGGUAAAAGGCCUGAGAGUAUGCAAAGUGACCAAUGGUUUAUAUUUAGAAGGAUUUUAAUCUCGUAGCAAAUUCAAAAUCUUCAAUUAAUUUACCUGCUUUUCCAAUACAUUUUCCUGUAUAAGACUGUAUUUAAUUAAAGUCUUUUUAAUGAUUUUCCAGUUCCUUUUAGUAGUCAUGUUUCCAGAUAUUUGCCCUCAAAGGCUUUUGAUACAUACUGUAAUUGCACAAAUCUACUGAUAUUUUUCUUAAUCCUAUUUAGUUGAACAAGUAACACUCUACUGAAAGAGCUUCUAUACUCGACAAAAAUCUAUCAAGGGUUUUACCAUUAUAUAUUUAAUGCACCUAUAUAUUUUCUUGUUUCCUCUUUCACUGCUCACCCUUCAUUAUCUCAACCAUCAUGAACAGCAAGACUACCUUUUUUCUAACCCUGUUUUAAUUUUCAUAAUUUUGAUACUUUAUUUUCAGCUUUUAAAUCAAAAGUAUUGAAAUAGUGUUAAUGUACCUAAGACUUAAUGUAGUUAACAUAGACGUGAAAAAAAGGUAAGGUUCUUAAGUUUAAAUGUGUUAAGUGAGAUUUUUAGAAAGGGUAAGCCAAUUAAUUCUUGAAAAUAACUUCCCCUUUCAGGCAAACCCCCACAUUUCUUAUUACUUUUGAAAAUUUUGGCUAAACUGUAGGGAGUGUUUGACAUUUUUUCAGUUACUAUAAUGCACCAUCUUAAAAAUAGCAUUUUAAAUAUUUAACUUAUUUCCCAAACAUAGAGGAAUCAACAUUUAAUCAUCUACUACACUGCUCCCCCCACUGGUUAAUCAUCUUAAUUACAGAUUAUUAUAUACCAAGCCACAGUAAAAGAGGUGCCCAUAAGAAAAGAUGACUUAUGUCCCAUACUACCUUCCAUAUAAACAAAAUCCUGCAUGCAGUACACCUGGCAAAGCUGGUUUAUUACUGACAUUACAGGUGAAAAGAUGUGGCUAUAUUUGAGGCAGGAAGGAAUAGGAAGAGAAAAGAAAAAGAAAGAAUAAUAGUGUUAAUAACUUCUAUUUGUUAAUGAGGAUGCAUUUGCUUCAUGUGGUAAGAUAGCCACCUAAAUCUAACAGUAGAUUAACAUAAUAUUUUAAUGUUGUGGCUAUUCUUUAUAUCAUCUUGACUGUUUUCUCUUCUGUGGUUUCAUUAGUUUUGUAAGGUGAAUGUGAUUCAUGUUUUAAAAGUAGAGUGUCAGUGUGGGUUUUUACAGGAAUUUGCCAUAUUCUGAAGUUCCUUCUGGCAAGUUACUCUUGAAUCUCUCUCCUUUUCAGCCAGACAUUGUCACUUGCUUAAUAUAUUCAAAUAUAUAUGCUAAUGGAAACACACGACUUGCUAAAGACUUUAACAUACAGUCUGCUAAAUCUUGACAUCCUAAUUCCACGGUAGGCCUACUGUAAGCUUAAUAUCUUAAAUGAAGGCAAAGUUUUCCAACAGCGUGUUCAACCAAUUUCAAGUAAACAGGCAAUAGGACUGACCAACAUAUCAAAUAACUGAACACUGGAAAGGUCAAACUGGUCUGAUUUACAGUACUGUCAUGUUGUGUAGGGUGUGUGAGGCAUUUUAAUGCUCAUUUCACAUUCCGCAAUGACAAUGUCUGUAAUGAAUAGGAAAUGACAUAUUAUGAAUUCGUUUUUGUGCUGAUAAUUGUAAUAAGAAUAGUGAAUGGUACAACAAAUCUAAUCCAUCUUCAUGACAAUUUAAAAACUGUAAUCUGAUUGCAAUCCUGAGGUAUUUUUCAGACACUUUCUAAAAUAAAACUGAAUACAAUUAAGCAGCAAAAAAUAUUAUAUUUCCCAGAUAUGGCAUAUUUAUUGGGAAGUUUUGUGAUCUGUGUAAAUCUUAUACAAAAAGCUAUCUUUUAAUUAUAUGGAAACUUUGAUUUUCCUUUAUUUUCAGCAUAGUAUGUUAUAAUUUAUUAAAACAACUUUGAAGGUCAUCAACUCCAAGCAUCAAGAGAGGAUAAAGAAAAUAAUUGGAAAAAAUUUAGUUAUUCCAAUAAUAAUGUUCCAUAUGUAAGAUAACAGGACAUACUGACGUAUUGCUUUUAAUAAACCUCUACUACCAAAACCAGGGCUUAGUUACUUUACAGAGUUCAGAACCUUUUUCUUUGGCUCGUGGGGGAAACAGGCUUGUUCCAGUGAAAGCCACAGCAUGACGCUUCCUGUGAUUUCACAGACAAUAGUUUCUGACCCCACAGUUUUGCUAGAAACAGGAGGCACAAUAUUUGCUUGCGCCAAUAUAUUACAGUUUCUACCCAAAAUAUAAGGUCCCCCCAGCCCUGCCCAGCACCCUACCGUAUUAUUUCAGUGCUCAGAAUUAAAUAUUGGUGCCACAGGAGUCUGUUGCAGAAAUUAGACUGAGUGACCUUGCUGGGACCAGAACCAUAUCCUUGCUUGCUAAGAGCUUCUGUCGUCCCCUCUGUCUACCACUGAUGACACUCGUACAACACACAAGGUCUAAAUUUCCUCAAACCACUCUCAAAUAUCCAAAUUUAAAUCCAAGGGACACUUCAGAGAUAUCCUGCCUUUGUUUCACUGUAAUUUCAGCAUUACUUUCUGUUUAAAUUCUAUUGUUUUCUUACUGUCUGGGUAAUUGAAUCAAGCCUGGGUUACAGUGGUGCUCCUAACCCAGGCUUCAAAUCAUGCAUAGGAGGGCUCAUUUAAUGAAUUAUUGCUUGAUCAGUUUAUAUAGUAUUGCUUGGCUUGCAAACCAGUUCUGUAUGUAUCUUGUUACACAGCUGAUGUUCUUGUAACUGUGCUGCUGUAUCAACUGAAAUGUAUGUUUCUGCUUAAAAUUUACUUUGGGAAUGAUUUAUUUUGUUUUCAAGAGUAAUUUGUGUGCCAAUAGACCCUGUUCUACUAAAUGCAGAAAGCAUUCUCUGAAAGGUUUAUGUAAGCAAAAAUAAAAAUUAUAAUGACAGUCUGUAA